AACGCGAAGAACCUUACCAAGGCUUGACAUAUACCGGAAACGGCUAGAGAUAGUCGCCCCCUUGUGGUCGGUAUACAGGUGGUGCAUGGUUGUCGUCAGCUCGUGUCGUGAGAUGUUGGGUUAAGUCCCGCAACGAGCGCAACCCUUGUUCUGUGUUGCCAGCAUGCCCUUCGGGGUGAUGGGGACUCACAGGAGACUGCCGGGGUCAACUCGGAGGAAGGUGGGGACGACGUCAAAUCAUCAUGCCCCUUAUGUCUUGGGCUGCACACGUGCUACAAUGGUCGGUACAAAGGGCUGCGAUGCCGCGAGGCGGAGCGAAUCCCAAAAAGCCGGUCUCAGUUCGGAUUGGGGUCUGCAACUCGACCCCAUGAAGUUGGAGUUGCUAGUAAUCGCAGAUCAGCAUGCUGCGGUGAAUACGUUCCCGGGCCUUGUACACACCG
rnacentral:rRNA from 1 species